rnacentral:misc_RNA from 1 species
UCUCCGUAGGUGAACCUGCGGAGGGAUCAUUACAGAGUUCUCGCCCUCGCGGGUAGAUCCCCCACCCACUGUUAUCGUUACUGUGUUGCUUUGGCGGGCCGCCGGUCCCCGCUCGGCCGCCGGCUCCGGCUGGCGCGCGCCCGCCAGAGGCCCAGCAAACUCUGAAUGUUAGUGUCGUCUGAGUACUAUAUAAUAGUUAAAACUUUCAACAACGGAUCUCUUGGCUCUC